CCCGGGAAAAUCCUGUUUAGGCUAACCAUUUAAGCGAGGAAAUGCUUAUAUUCUUAAUUCUUUUUCUAUUUCCUUUUCUUUAGUUUUUACUUCUUCUUUUCCUUGUUGAAAUCUCGCGCCGAGUCCUCCCCGCGUGCCCUAGCCUUCCUCCUCGCGCGGAGCCACCAUUUCUGCCCAAAACCGCUCGGAGGCAGUUUCUUCUCCUCUUCCCCUCUUCUUCUCCUCUACCGAUCGUCGCUGUGCCCUAGCCGACUUCACUCUCCUCCGCGCCGAUCUUCCAUCGCUAGCCACUCGAGUAGCGCCGCCCACCCCGGCCAUCGUGCCCUAAGUCCUUUUUGGAUCUGCGUGCCAACGCCGAUCAUCGACCGUAGGAACUCCAGUCGCCUGUGCCCUAGCCGGUGCCACCACAGUCCUCUUCCUCAGCCCUAGCGUCACUUCUCGAGACGCCGGCCAAGGUUCUGCUACCCUAUCUCCUCCUUUCUUCUAGUACAGCAUCGCAUACUUUCCUUCCCCUCGCGUCGUCUCGGUUGCAACGGCCGACACUGGUCGGAAAGCCGCCGAUCACCUCACUAUGGUCACACCUCUUGUGCUUUGCCUUCUCCACAGGGAAGACAGAUUCAAGGACAGAGAGUUCGGUGCCUUGGUUGUUGGCCACAAGUUUUUGGUUCCAAUCGGUUGUUACUAUCUACUGUCGAAGGGUAAGACAGCAAUUAACCUUUGCUGGCAGCAACAAAACCUUGUGUGGAUCAACAAUCAAGGCUGUGAAUAGAGGACUUUGAUUCGAGACGGUAUCUCGACGGGUAUCUCGAUUAGCGUAUUGGACUAUUUCGAUUGGAGGCGGGUACUUUGACUUAUGUCUUUUGAUAUGCAUAAUAAUGUGUUUAACAUAUAACAAUAAUUGUGUGAUCCAUUUAUUUCGGUUGGUCACUAC